AAUGAAUCAUCGAUAGCUAAGUUUCAGUGUGGUUUCGAAGAGUAAAGACGUACUCUGUGUAUGAUAAAAAAAAUUCGUGUCGAGAUUUUUUUUAAAACAGUUUUUAGUGCAUUUCGCCGACAACCAUUGUGUGAUUUCUUUUCGGUAAUUUUUCAAGGUGGAAAAUGUCGUCGUGUGGAAAACGUAAAAGUGAUCGUGUGCUACCGAAUCGCGAUAACGACGCCAUAGUCAACGCAUUGAAAGCAGUGAAAUUGGGCAAACAGGCAGAAGAAAGCAGACAAUGCGGCAAAAAAAGCGGAAAAGGCGGCAACAUCGAAAGCCAGCGCAUCGAAAGCGAAGCCAUCAAAGAAACCAGCCAAGCGACCAAAGAAGCAAUCAUCUUCGGAUGAAGAUGAAGAUUUUUGCAUCAUCUGCAUGCAUAUGUUACCGAUGAAUUCGAUGAUUCCGAUGAAUAAUCAUCUUCAAUUUCCAUGUCAAAAGCACAUAAUUGAAUAAAAAUUCAAUAAUCCGUCGAAA